rnacentral:rRNA from 1 species
CAAUAGCGUAUAUUAAAGUUGUUGCAGUUAAAAAGCUCGUAGUUGGAUUUCGGGAUGGGCCAGUCGGUCCGCCGUUUGGUGUGCACUGGCUGGUCUCAACUUCCUGCGGAGGACGCGCUCUGGGCUUAACGGUCUGGACGUGGAGUCCGCGUGGUUACUUUGAAAAAAUUAGAGUGUUCAAAGCGGGCUUACGCUUGAAUAUUUCAGCAUGGAAUAACACUAUAGGACUCCUGUCCUAUUUCGUUGGUCUCGGGACGGGAGUAAUGAUUAAGAGGAACAGUUGGGGGCAUUCGUAUUUCAUUGUCAGAGGUGAAAUUCUUGGAUUUAUGAAAGACGAACUUCUGCGAAAGCAUUUGCCAAGGAUGUUUUCAUUAAUCAAGAACGAAAGUUGGGGGCUCGAAGAUGAUCAGAU